AUGAAUAAAUUAAAUGGCUGCAGUAUAAAUAACUGUACAAAGGUAGCAUAAUCAAUUGAUUUUUAAAUGAAAUCUGGAAUAAAAGAAUUAAUGAAAUAUAUACUGUCUCAUAUAUAUAAUAUAAACUUAAAUUUUUAAUAAAAAUGUUAAAAUUUAUUUAUGGGACGAUAAGACCCUAUAGAAUUUUAUAUUAAAUUAUUUUUAUAAAUAUAAAAUAUAAAAUUUAAAUUAAUAUUUAAUUGGGAGAAUUAUUAAAUUUAAAAAAUUUUAAUUUAAAAAAACUUUAAUUAAAGAAUAUAUCUUGAUCUUUAAAUUAAAAUUAAUAGAAUAAAUUACCUUAGGGAUAACAGCGUUAUAUUUUUUUAUAGAUCACAUAGAAAAAAAUGAUUGCGACCUCGAUGUUGAAUUAAGAUAAAUUUUAAAUGUAGAAAUUUAAUAAUUAAGUCUGUUCGACUUUUAAAAUCUUACAUGAUUUGAGUUCAAAUCGACGUAAGUCAGAUUGG
rnacentral:rRNA from 1 species